rnacentral:rRNA from 1 species
GAUGAACGCUGGCGGCGUGCUUAACACAUGCAAGUCGAACGAAGCACCUUGAUUCGAUUCUUCGGAUGAAGAUCUUGGUGACUGAGUGGCGGACGGGUGAGUAACGCGUGGGUAACCUGCCUCAUACAGGGGGAUAACAGCUAGAAAUGACUGCUAAUACCGCAUAAGACCACAGCACCGCAUGGUGCAGGGGUAAAAACUCCGGUGGUAUGAGAUGGACCCGCGUCUGAUUAGGUAGUUGGUGGGGUAACGGCCUACCAAGGCGACGAUCAGUAGCCGAGCUGAGAGGGUGACCGGCCACAUUGGGACUGAGACACGGCCCAAACUCCUACGGGAGGCAGCAGUGGGGAAUAUUGCACAAUGGGGGAAACCCUGAUGCAGCGACGCCGCGUGAGCGAUGAAGUAUUUCGGUAUGUAAAGCUCUAUCAGCAGGGAAGAAAAUGACGGUACCUGACUAAGAAGCACCGGCUAAAUACGUG